CCUACGGGAGGCAGCAGUGAGGAAUAUUGGUCAAUGGGCGAGAGCCUGAACCAGCCAAGUCGCGUGAGGGAGUACUGCCCUAUGGGUUGUAAACCUCUUUUGUCGGGGCGCAAAAGCCGGACGUGUCCGGCUGUGAGAGUACCCGAAGAAAAAGCAUCGGCUAACUCCGUGCCAGCAGGCGCUGUAAGACGGAGGAUGCGAGCGUUAUCCGGAUUUAUUGGGUUAAAAGUGUGCGCAGGCGGUUUUUUCAGUCAGCGGUCACAUCGUGGGGCUCAACCCCAUGCAGCCGUUGAAACUGGGGGUCUAGAGUGUGCGAGAGGUAUGCGGAAUGCGUGGUGUAGCGGUGAAAUGCAUAGAUAUCACGCAGAACCCCGAUGGCGAAGGCAGCAUACCGGUGCACAACUGACGCUGAGGCACGAAAGCGUGGGUAUCGAACAGGAUUAGAUACCCGAGUAGUC
rnacentral:rRNA from 1 species